ACAAAAUGUUAAUUUUAGACAUACUAAUUAUCUGAUUUAUUUCCAGCCCAUCUUACCCCUAAACUCUGGUGUGAAUAGCAGAGUCUGGAUCAGGGAGUUGAGGUGUAAAGGAAGAAAAACCAUCCCCGUCCUCCUCAAACAGAUCUCCAAACAUGGCCGCGGCUGCCUUGUAAAGCUUACUAUUGCUCCCGAUUAACAAUCAAUGGACUCACCCUGGAAUACGACGAUUUUACAGGACUAAACAUCGCUUUCUAAACCAAAAGAAGAACUGAAUGCUCUUUUUGUCUAAGUGUCGUUCCUCUGGAUGAAUCACGGGCGUCGUGAGUAAAUCUCAGUCCUUAAAACGCAACGUGGAAAUCUGAGAGUGGAUCCUCAGCUUGAAGACUUUGGAGAGAGGUGCUUUGGCACUGGAGUACAUCAGCGAUGAAAGGAAGUCAUAUGGGCUUGGAAAGACAUGACGUGAAUUGCUUCCAUGCCUGGGCCUUAAAGGUGCUGAUGUUCUGGUAGAGCUGGAAUUGGCCAUGGUUCCAGCGGUAG